GCAAACGCGACCGGCUUGAUUCUGUCCCGCCGGGGGCGAGCGGGCGGCGGCUCGACGCGGCGACGGCGACGGCGUCGUCGAAGAGCCCUCCCUCCUCCUCCCCGAACCCUAGCGCCGAGUACGUGGCCCGCCGGACGGACAGCGCGGCAACACCGGCUUACCCGAGUCCAUGUCAAUAUCUCCUCACACCCAUGUGCUAGACGGAAGUUUACCUGAAGAGACAUGGCAAGCAACAGAUGAUCCAGACAUCAAGUUUCUAAGUAGACGAGAGAUGUAUGUUGUGUGAAGACAUUGCAAGGUUGAAGCAGGAACGAUGAAGAAGAUUGAAGCCUUCUAGCUUUAUUUCGUUGUUCUUUAGCUUCUCUUGUUUUUUGUAAAAUUUCUUAUUUGAGGUUCAGAGUCUAAGAACUUUUGUAACGCGAGGGCCGGAUCCCUCACAUUUGGCUGUAGACAUUCUUUUGAGAGUGUUCAAGGCCAGGACAUUCCCGACUCUUA